GAUGAACGCUGGCGGCGUGCCUAAUACAUGCAAGUCGAGCGAACAGACGAGGAGCUUGCUCCUCUGACGUUAGCGGCGGACGGGUGAGUAACACGUGGAUAACCUACCUAUAAGACUGGGAUAACUUCGGGAAACCGGAGCUAAUACCGGAUAAUAUAUUGAACCGCAUGGUUCAAUAGUGAAAGACGGUUUUGCUGUCACUUAUAGAUGGAUCCGCGCCGCAUUAGCUAGUUGGUAAGGUAACGGCUUACCAAGGCAACGAUGCGUAGCCGACCUGAGAGGGUGAUCGGCGACACUGGAACUGAGACACGGGCCAGACUCAUACGGGAGGCAGCAGUAGGGAAUAUUGGACAAUGGGCGAAAGCCUGACGGAGCAACUCCGCGUGAGUGAUGAAGGCCUUCGGAUCGUAAAACUCUGUUAUGAGGGAAGAACAAAUGUGGAAGUAACUAUGCACGUCUUGACGGUACCUAAUCAGAAAGCCACGGAUAACUACGUG
rnacentral:rRNA from 1 species